UACGUAGGGUCCAAGCUGUUAUCCGGAAUCACUGGGCGUAAAGCGUGCGUAGGUGGCGUGUUAAGUGUGAUGUUAAAUCGUGUGGCUCAACCAUAUCGAUGUGUCGCAUACUGGCAUGCUAGAGGGAAGCAGAGGCAAGUGGAAUUUGUAGUGUAGCAGUGAAAUGCGUAGAUAUUACAAGGAACACCAAUGGCGAAGGCAGCUUGCUGGGCUUCUUCUGACACUGAGGUACGAAAGCGUGGGGAGCGAACAGG
rnacentral:rRNA from 1 species